UACGUAGGGGGCAAGCGUUGUCCGGAUUUAUUGGGCGUAAAGAGCGUGUAGGCGGCCUUACAGGUCAGCUGUGAAAACUCGAGGCUCAACCUCGAGACGUCGGUUGAAACCGUAUGGCUAGAGUCCGGAAGAGGAGAGUGGAAUUCCCGGUGUAGCGGUGAAAUGCGCAGAUAUCGGGAAGAACACCCGUGGCGAAGGCGGCUCUCUGGACAGUUCCUGACGCUGAGGCACGAAGGUCAGGGGAGCAAACGGG
rnacentral:rRNA from 1 species